UACGUAGGGUGCAAGCGUUAAUCGGAAUUACUGGGCGUAAAGCGUGCGCAGGCGGUUAUGCAAGACAGGUGUGAAAUCCCCGGGCUUAACCUGGGAACUGCAUUUGUGACUGCAUAGCUGGAGUGCGGGAGAGGGGGAUGGAAUUCCGCGUGUAGCAGUGAAAUGCGUAGAUAUGCGGAGGAACACCGAUGGCGAAGGCAAUCCCCUGGGCCUGCACUGACGCUCAUGCACGAAAGCGUGGGGAGCAAACAGG
rnacentral:rRNA from 1 species